UGUUGUGUACCGUGUGUGUUGCGCUGCGAGAGGAAAAAGUCCCCGCCCCACCGCAGCGGAGGCGGACAGCACCUUGUCCGCCGCCUUCAGCCCCGGGGAGGGGCUGUGAGGGAAGUAGAGGCUGGGCAGGCCCGGGAGAGCUCCUCCCGGGGGCCCCCUGCAGCCUGGCUUCAUUUGGGGCAAGCCUCUGGCCUCCAGCCCCAGCCUUUUCUCAGCCCCUAUGCUUGUAGCACCCGCCCCUAGCCGUGGGAGGGAGCUCCUCUUCCCUCGGGUCCCACGCAGGAGAGAGGGUGUUAAAAGAGGGAUAGCAGAGUAGCCAUGUCCCAAGCAGCAGUGCAGACACUGCUUCAAAACAGCCUUUGCUGUGCCCUUCCAGGUCCCUCUGUUCUCACUUGGGCCCUGCGCACUUCACCAUCGCGCUCACCUGCGUUGGGGCCGCGAACAGGGCCUGUUGCCCCUGCCCCUGCCCCACAGGCGCACGCAGAGGCAAGGAUCGCCCGGGUGGUGUGGACUGGAGAAGGAACUGAGAAAGGAAGGAUCCCAGAAAAGCAGACAAAGAGCAACCAGGAUGUGACAUUGCUGCAGGGAAAAAUGCUCAGCGGAUCUAACUAGUCACUUCAUAAUUCUUCAGCUAAGGAGCAGAGGAUCAUCCACAUCUGCAGGUUCUUUACACCUUAAAUAAUGAUGUUUGGAGACUACAAAUAUAGCCUCUGGGGACCUGAAACCUAUGAGGUGACCCGUAUUGUCUUCGACUCAUUUUUUCCAAGAUAACUAGCAUUCCCUGUAAAUCUAAUACAAAUCUAAAACAACCUACAAAUGGACUUAAGCAACACACACUAAAAAAAAAUAAAUUAUUUGGGACCUGGAAAAUCUCACAACAGAAAAAAGGAAUCUUGUAUGCUUCCCCCAAAAUAAUUAUAUAUCAAAUAAAAGUUAA